ACGGCACUUCCAUCACGUGCAGGGUUCCCGUGCUGUCGCCUGCUGCCAGCAGCUGCUGCUUACCUGCAAGGAAAAUAGGACAAAGAACAAAUGAUAAAGGUGGGAGUCUUUCAAGGCCUUGCCUGCAAGGAAAAUAGGACAAAGAACAAAUAAUAAAGGUGGGAGUCUUUCAAGGCCUUGCCUGCGAGGAAAAUAGGACAAAGAACAAAUAAUAAAGGUGGGAGUCUUUCAAGGCCUUG